rnacentral:rRNA from 1 species
UGGGGAAUAUUGGACAAUGGGGGCAACCCUGAUCCAGCAAUGCCGCGUGAGUGAUGAAGGCCUUCGGGUUGUAAAGCUCUUUUGGCGGGGACGAUGAUGACGGUACCCGCAGAAUAAGCCCCGGCUAACUUCGUGCCAGCAGCCGCGGUAAUACGAAGGGGGCUAGCGUUGUUCGGAAUUACUGGGCGUUAAGGGCGCGUAGGCGGUCCUGAUCGUCGGAUGUGAAAGGCCUGGGCUCAACCUGGGAAUGGCAUCCGAUACGGCGGGACUGGAGUGUGGGAGAGGUUGGUGGAAUUCCCAGUGUAGAGGUGAAAUUCGUAGAUAUUCGGAAGAACACCAGUGGCGAAGGCGACUCGCUGGACAGACAUUGACGCUGAGGUGCGAAAGCGUGGGGAGCAAAC